UAGGGAAUCUUCCGCAAUGGACGAAAGUCUGACGGAGCAACGCCGCGUGAGUGAUGAAGGUUUUCGGAUCGUAAAACUCUGUUGUUAGGGAAGAACAAGUAUCGUUCGAAUAGGGCGGUACCUUGACGGUACCUAACCAGAAAGCCACGGCUAACUACGUGCCAGCAGCCGCGGUAAUACGUAGGUGGCAAGCGUUGUCCGGAAUUAUUGGGCGUAAAGCGCGCGCAGGCGGUUUCUUAAGUCUGAUGUGAAAUCUUGCGGCUCAACCGCAAGCGGCCAUUGGAAACUGGGAGACUUGAGUGCAGAAGAGGGGAGUGGAAUUCCACGUGUAGCGGUGAAAUGCGUAGAGAUGUGGAGGAACACCAGUGGCGAAGGCGACUCUCUGGUCUGUAACUGACGCUGAGGCGCGAAAGCGUGGGGAGCGAACAGG
rnacentral:rRNA from 1 species